rnacentral:rRNA from 1 species
ACCUUUACUGUAAUCUGAUAUUGAUAUUUGAAUAUUUAUGUGUAGAAUAAGUGGGAGACUGCGAAGCAGUGCCGUUAGGCAUUGUGGAGUCGACAGUGAAAUACCACGCUUGUGUGUUUGAAUGUCUAACUAAUUUCCGUGAAUCCGGGAUUAGGACAGUGUUUGAGGGUCAGUUUAACUGGGGCGGUUUCCUCCCAAAAAGUAACGGAGGAGUUCAAAGGUACACUCAACAUGUUUGGAAAUCAUGUGCAGAGCGUAA